GACGAACGCUGGCGGCGUGCUUAACACAUGCAAGUCGAACGGAAAGGCCCUGCUUUUGUGGGGUGCUCGAGUGGCGAACGGGUGAGUAACACGUGAGUAACCUGCCCUUGACUUUGGGAUAACUUCAGGAAACUGGGGCUAAUACCGGAUAGGAGCUCCUGCUGCAUGGUGGGGGUUGGAAAGUUUCGGCGGUUGGGGAUGGACUCGCGGCUUAUCAGCUUGUUGGUGGGGUAGUGGCUUACCAAGGCUUUGACGGGUAGCCGGCCUGAGAGGGUGACCGGCCACAUGGGGACUGAGAUACGGCCCAGACUCCUACGGGAGGCAGCAGUGGGGAAUAUUGCACAAUGGGCGGAAGCCUGAUGCAGCAACGCCGCGUGCGGGAUGACGGCCUUCGGGUUGUAAACCGCUUUCGCAUGUGACGAAGCGUGAGUGACGGUAAUGGGUAAAGAAGCACCGGCUAACUACGUG
rnacentral:rRNA from 1 species